GUACUUGCUUCAGCAGCACAUAUACUAAAAUUAGAAAGAUACAGAGAAGAUUAGCAUGGCCCCUGUGCAAGGAUGACAUGCAAAUUCGUGAAGUGUUCCAUAUUUCU
rnacentral:snRNA from 1 species